ensembl:lncRNA
ACCAGAUCUCCUCCCACAAACAGCACAACACCAACUCCCUCUGUCGACAAACAUCAGCCUCAGUUUGACGAACACGUGUCGCCAUUUUGUCACCGCUCCACAGAACGUCACCUCAGGUCACAGCCGGACAUCAAUGUUUCUUCGCCACGUUCCACCCACCGAAACGCUGCUGCAGACCGAGUGGAACAGCGUCCUCCACUGAACCCAGCACACUUCAAAGAAACUGACCUGAUGGCGUUCACCCGACUCUCAAACUCACAGAUCCCAGUCUGAUCUGAUGGAUCAAGGUCAGAUCAUCUGAAGCCCACUGUGUAAACUCCAGGACCCAAAGGAUCAAAUGCCAACGUCCAAACACUGCAUGACACCCUCCACAGGUCCUGUUUCCAUCCUCGAUGGUUCACAGCUGGACCGUGUUAGGAUCUGUUAGGAUGUGAGGAUCCUAACAUGGAGGAUUUAAACUUCAAGUCACCAAGUGUGUGCUACACCAUUUUCAGUCUUUAAAGUAUUUUCUACCAUGAUA